rnacentral:lncRNA from 1 species
AUGAAAGGCCAUUCUAUCUACGAGUCUAUCGGAGAGCUAGUCGUAGCUAUGCCUGAACUGAACCUCGUACAAGAAUUUCUUUCCGGCCUUACGCUUCCCAGUCUCAGGAAAAGAAUAGCUCUUUCGGUCAAAGUCGAUAAGGAUAAAAGUCCAAUAGCUAGGGUGGGAUUGUCCUCUGUUCUCAACUCGGGAAGGAAAUCAAUAAGCAUGGAUUCACCUAUUCUAGAAAAAAAGAAAUAUGCUUUAG